rnacentral:rRNA from 2 species
UACGGAGGGUGCAAGCGUUAAUCGGAAUUACUGGGCGUAAAGCGUGCGUAGGCGGCCUGUUAAGUCAGAUGUGAAAGCCCCGGGCUUAACCUGGGAACUGCAUCUGAUACUGGGAGGCUAGAAUGUGGGAGAGGAGAGUGGAAUUUCCGGUGUAGCGGUGAAAUGCAUAGAGAUCGGAAGGAACACCAGUGGCGAAGGCGGCUCUCUGGACCAACAUUGACGCUGAGGCACGAAAGCGUGGGUAGCAAACAGG